CGGAAGGGGGCAACUCCUUCCAGUCGAGUGGCGGACGGGUGAGUAACACGUGGGUAACCUGCCCGGAAGUGUGGAAUACCUCGGGGAAACUCGAGCUAAUACCGCAUGACAUCUUCGGGACGACAGUCCUGACGAUCAGAGCGGGGUCGCAAGAUCUCGCGCUACCGGAUGGGCCCGCGCCCGAUUAGCUAGUUGGUGAGGUAACGGCUCACCAAGGCUUCGAUCGGUAACCGGCCUGAGAGGGCGAUCGGUCACACCGGAACUGAGACACGGUCCGGACUCCUACGGGAGGCAGCAGUGGGGAAUCUUGCGCAAUGGGCGAAAGCCUGACGCAGCAACGCCGCGUGGAGGAUGAAGGCCCUUGGGUUGUAAACUCCUGUCGGCUGGGAAGAAAUCGUGCGGUGCUCAUACCACCGUGCGUUGACUGUACCAGCAAAGGAAGCCCCGGCUAACUCUGUGCCAGCAGCCGCGGUAAUACAGAGGGGGCUAGCGUUAUUCGGAAUUAUUGGGCGUAAAGGGCGCGUAGGCGGCCAUGCGUGUCUUCCGUGAAAUCCCUCGGCUUAACUGAGGACGUGCGGAAGAAACUGCAAGGCUCGAGUCCGGGAGAGGGGGGGUGGAAUUCCCAGUGUAGCGGUGAAAUGCGUAGAUAUUGGGAGGAACACCGGUGGCGAAGGCGGCCCCCUGGACCGGUACUGACGCUGAGGCGCGAAAGCGUGGGUAGCAAACGGGAUUAGAUACCCCGGUAGUCCACGCCGUAAACGAUGGGCACUUGGUGUCGCGGGUAUCGACCCCUGCGGUGCCG
rnacentral:rRNA from 1 species